GUCCACGCCCUAAACGUUGGAUGCUAGGUGUGGGGAUGAAAAUCUCUGUGCCGAAGUUAACGCAUUAAGCAUCCCGCCUGGGGAGUACGGUCGCAAGAUUGAAACUCAAAGGAAUUGGCGGGGGCCCGCACAAGCGGUGGAGCAUGUGGUUUAAUUCGAUGCAAAGCGAAGAACCUUACCAGGGCUUGACAUACUGACUUAAGCUUAUGUGAAAGCAUGGAGUGGUGUAAAGCUUGCUUUUACACAGUUAGUACAGGUGCUGCAUGGCUGUCGU
rnacentral:rRNA from 1 species